CUGCCGCGGUGCGUUUGGGAGCCAAGAGAGGAUCCCAGGCUGACUCCAAAGUCCACCAGACUUGGGCUGGAGCUCGAAGGACCCUCCCCGCCCCCUGCCUCCUCAGCCUCUGUCUCACUUGUGGAAACGCGAAACCCCCUGGCACUGCUGAACUUCGCGGUGGACAUGUACCUUCUGAGGCCUUCGGGACUUGGGCGGACAGCACCUGCGCAUCAGAGUGGACACUUUCUAGUUAGAGUCAGGAGAGAGACCUGGACGCGGGCGACUCCGCCCUCACUCACUUCCUUGGCAGGACUUGCCUCCUCAUCGUCUUCGCCCUGGGGCACCAGGAAAGUUUGUGGUUCUGAGACCACCCUUCCCUCCUUCCUGAGAAACCAACCGUUGUGUAUCCAUUCUGAGCAUCACUUUCCACCAGGUUCCAGCCUCCAUCCUGUUGGAGGGAGGAGGACAAAGUGGUGUGAACCAGUGGUUCUCAAAACUCCGCUGCAUAUUAGAGCCUCCUCUGGAGCUUUCAAACAUCCCGCUCCCCGGGCACCACCCCAGACCAAACCAACUGCUUCAGAAUCUCCCCGAAAUGGGAUACAAACAUAAGAAUUUUUUAAACUUCCAGUAGUGAUUGCAGAAGGACUCAAGAUUGAGAACCAGAGGACUGAAAUACCAGCAGAGACUGGCUGAGGAAACAAAUACUGUAGUACCUAGGCCUAUUAGUUUGAUGCCCAGAGGAGUAACUGUUAUUGUCUUCACUUAUACAUUGUAUGAAGAAUGUAUCCAGAUUACUUAUGAUGUUUACUCAAGGAACUACUUGGAGAGAGUCGGGGACACAGAGCAUGCUCUCCACUCCACUCUGGUGGUUUGUUCUCAAUUCUUUCCACUAAUGGAAAGAUACCAAAGCAGGAAUGACGCAAAAGGUGGACUAUCCAAGCUUUAGUCGUUUUUUUUUCCCCUCUUGCAUGUGUGUUCCAAAGUGAGUUUGUCCAAUUAAACAAUGAAUGUAUCUGAGAAGUCAACAUGCCAAGAUUUACACCAAGUUAUGGAUUCCAGUUAAGCCUUUGCAUGAAACUCCUUUUCCCUGAUGUUGCAACCCCACCUGCAUGAAAAUGAGCUGCCUGGCUGUUCUGUGGACCCAUCCCGCACAGCAUCCUCAUAACCUGAGAUGCACAACGCACUGUGCCAGAAGGGACAUACUUCAUGUCCUGCAGGGCAGUUGUGAUGUUCCUGGAUUCAUCUGGUAUGAAAGUACAACAGGCAAAAGCUCAGUAACUACAGGAGGAGAACUCAAACCCAUGAGGUUGCCACUACAAGUUGCCAGCAGAUGCUGCUUUGAGGAUGGCUGGUGACGUCCCCAAUUUAAUGCCGCUCAGAAAACUCAGGUCCUCAGCAAUACAGAAACUUGCCUGAAGUCCCAUCUUCAAUGGUAACCUAGUUUUACCUUGGAUGUCUGAACUGCAGUUAUUCCAUUUUGAUUUUCAAAUGCAUUUCUCUCCUUAGUGGCCAAAGCAGAUGCCACCAUUAAUGAUUUUUGGUGCUUUUCUAGAUAUGAGGAGAUGCAAGAAUUUGAGCUCAUUAAAUCUUCUCCUGAGAAUAUCUAACUAUCUGAAGGCCUGUUCAGCCAGUUCUCCCAGAGCACAGAGAGCCUCAUUCCUGAUCUCCAUCCUGAACUCCUUUCAGGGUGUGUUGGAGGUCAGCGGUUGCAGCAGCUCAUGACUUAAUCCAAGCAGAGGUAGAUGGCAAAUGCCAACAUGAUCCAGUCUUUGCAGAGGCAGUUGGCAGGUGCCCUCAUGAUCAUAAAUUUGACCAUGGUUUGGCAUUUUGUCCCACGGUGCUAGGAAUGCUCAUUCCUAGGUCAGGCGAGGAUUUCAUUGAUAGACCACUCAAUGUGCUAUUAUGAGACUAGGCCUUAUUAACAGUAGCAACAAGUCUCUGGACCCCCUGUCUUACUAGCCUGUUAUGAUCCAGGAGAAUAUUCCUCAUGUUGCUUCUUCCCAUAUCUAGAGUCAUACUAUUACAAUCACGGGUUUCAUACAGAGGUAUAUGUCUGGCCUACUGUUUCAAGUUGCCUAGUCAUUAUUUUAUCAGAGGCUCAGUCACACAUUUGGCAAUGCAAGAAACAACAAUUUUGUAAAAGAGGCAAGAUACAAAUAAUAUCGUUAGCAGUAUUAGUAAGGUCAUAAGCAAGAAUUUAAACCAAGAACUUCCCAUUAGGUGCGGCUCAGUGUAUCCCCAGGUCACCUGACUGAGUCUGCUCUGUACCGAUCCUUAUCUUUAAGGAAGAUGUUGCACGGGCAUUGUUCACAGGGCACCCAGCCAAAUUUCCUAGUGUUAUGAGGCUGGUCUUCCUUAGUAUAGUUUAAGUUUUCCCAACAUCAGAGAGCCUUUAAGCUUAAAUGUCCAUACCCUGCUGUUAACCAUAUAAGUCCAUAACUGAGGGAGGUUAUAUUCUUUGGCUGAAGUUUUGCUUGUUGCCUGAGCCUGGGUGAUCUUACAAGAAAAUACAUAUUUAUGGCCCGGCUUAGAGCAGGUAUUAUUAGUUGGCCAGGUGAGGGCUUCCACCUCGUAAUAUCGAUAGGGGCCUAAAUAGAACUAUAAUUUCUUUUUUCUCUAGAAUAAUUUUUCUGAGGGCUAUCUAGUUAGAGCCUUGGAGUGGGGAAACCCACCAAGGUAACAGAGAAGUACUAGAUAGAGGUAACUGACUAUAAACCUAACAAUUGCAUCUGUUCAUAAGUGAAGGUGUGAGCAGUUAUCAAAGUAAUUGGUAUACAGGCCUGGUCCAGUGUCUUGGGUCAGCUGUCUACCUCAGACGUUGUCUUCUCAUCCUGGUCUGGUAGCUCUUGAGCUCCAUUUGAGCAUUGUUUUAAGGUGCACAGUCCUCUAUAGGCCAAUCCCGUGCAGGGGCUCUUUCUGACUGGAAAUUUAUCCAAAAGUCAGUUUCCUUCAGCUUUUGCUGUGCAUGGUCUAGU